GCCAGGUUUGUGGCGGAGGAGCACCUCCUUUAACGAUUCAAAACAGGGUCGUGGCUCAUGGCGUCAUUCCCGUCCUGAUCCGUGGAUCAGGUUUAGGGCCUCAGUAGCCGAGUAAAUGGAGGGAUGGGUUGCUGGGCAGAGUUCUCUCUCCUACCUCUGGCUCCUGGGUUUUCCUAUUAUCGAGUGAGGCUAGAUGGGCGGAGGAGCUUCUAUUCGAAGGAAACAAAGGAUAGCGCAGAAGAUGGAAUUUCUGAUGCAAUCGAUUAAAAGAACCACCGUGCUGGAGGACGUUAAUGAUGGCAAAGUACUCAUGGAGCCACUACACUGCUAGUGGUCCAACCGUUGCAGAUCCGCUGCCGCCCAUGGCGGCAGUGAGUGCGGAAGGCCAGAUCUGUGCGGCUGAUGGCGUGGUCGAUACUAAAAUUGAUGGUUAACUGCAAGCAUCCGAUCAGUCGAUUACUCGAUUUGUUAGAUCGACCCAAAAGCCCCAGCAUGGACUCGAAGCUGAUGGCAUAUCUGGUCUUGCGUGCACAGUGAGGAUCGGUGCUGCCGCACCAGGAAGGCCACCUUGUCCUAACCGCAGAUAGUGCACUGGAGAAGGCAAUUCAUGGUUUUGCGGAAAAUCUAGGAGAUGAUGUGAUUGUCCCUGCACUAGGAACAAGCUUUGAUUGUUUGAGUGAAGCCUUCGACUAUUGCCAUUGGACUUCGAUUCUUUUGGGUGAAGCAUAUGACUUUUACAAGCUUCGAUUCUUUGACAAAUCUAUAUUUUAGUAAUCCUCCUUAUUUUCUGAAACUGAUGUAUAGUGGUAUGAUGUACAUUGAAAUGGAUUUCUAAAGUGACAGUAAAUUAGACAA